rnacentral:rRNA from 1 species
UAAUACCGCAUAAGCGCACAGAGCUGCAUGGCUCGGUGUGAAAAACUCCGGUGGUAUGGGAUGGGCCCGCGUCUGAUUAGGCAGUUGGCGGGGUAACGGCCCACCAAACCGACGAUCAGUAGCCGGCCUGAGAGGGCGACCGGCCACAUUGGGACUGAGACACGGCCCAAACUCCUACGGGAGGCAGCAGUGGGGAAUAUUGCACAAUGGGGGAAACCCUGAUGCAGCGACGCCGCGUGAGCGAAGAAGUAUUUCGGUAUGUAAAGCUCUAUCAGCAGGGAAGAUAAUGACGGUACCUGACUAAGAAGCCCCGGCUAACUACGUGCCAGCAGCCGCGGUAAUACGUAGGGGGCAAGCGUUAUCCGGAUUUACUGGGUGUAAAGGGAGCGUAGACGGCAAGGCAAGUCUGAUGUGAAAACCCAGGGCUUAACCCUGGGACUGCAUUGGAAACUGUCUGGCUCGAGUGCCGGAGAGGUAAGCGGAAUUCCUAGUGUAGCGGUGAAAUGCGUAGAUAUUAGGAAGAACACCAGUGGCGAAGGCGGCUUACUGGACGGUAACUGACGUUGAGGCUCGAAAGCGUGGGGAGCAAACAGGAUUAGAUACCCUGGUAGUCCACGCUGUAAACGAUGAAAGGGAGGUGUUGGGGAGCAAAGCUCUUCGGCG